rnacentral:piRNA from 1 species
UCCACAUGAAGUUACGGAAGUCUUGAUCGA